UACGGAGGGUGCAAGCGUUGUUCGGAAUUAUUGGGCGUAAAGGGCAGGUAGGUGGUCUUAUAAGUCUACUGUGAAAUCCCCAGGCUUAACCUGGGAAGUGCGGUGGAUACUGUAAGACUAGAGUGCUAUAGGGGUACGCGGAAUUCUCGGUGUAGCGGUGAAAUGCGUAGAGAUCGAGAGGAACACCGAUGGCGAAGGCAGAUCUCUGGGCCGUAACUGACGCUGAGGAGCGAAAGCAUGGGGAGCGAACAGG
rnacentral:rRNA from 1 species